rnacentral:rRNA from 1 species
GGACUUACGGUUUUGUAUUGGAUGAGUUAAGUAUAAACCCCUUUACAAGUAUCAAUUGUGAGGGCAAGUCUGGUGCCAGCAGCCGCGGUAAUUCCAGCUCCAAUAGCGUAUAUUAAAGUUGUUGCAGUUAAAAAGCUCGUAGUUGGAUUUCUGUUAAUAAUUUAUAUAUAAUAUUACGGUAUUUAUAUAAUAUUAACAUAAUUCAUAUUACUUUAUUUUUAGAGUAUAUGAAAUUUUACUUUGAGAAAAUUAGAGUGCUUAAAGCAGGCAUAUGCCUUGAAUACUCCAGCAUGGAAUAAUAUUAAAGAUUUUUAUCUUUCUUAUUGGUUCUAAGAUAAAAAUAAUGAUUAAUAGGGACAGUUGGGGGCAUUUGUAUUUAACAGUCAGAGGUGAAAUUCUUAGAUUUGUUAAAGACAAACUAGUGCGAAAGCAUUUGCCAAGGAUGUUUUCAUUAAUCAAGAACGAAAGUUAGGGGAUCGAAGACGAUCAGAUACCGUCGUAGUCUUAACCAUAAACUAUGCCAACUAGAGAUUGGAGGUUGUCCUUUACUCC